AUUGAACGCUGGCGGCAGGCCUAACACAUGCAAGUCGAACGAGUGGCGGACGGGUGAGUAAUGUCUGGGAAACUGCCUGAUGGAGGGGGAUCACUACUGGAAACGGUAGCUAAUAACGCAUACCAUCGGAUGUGCCCAGAUGGGAUUAGCUAGUAGGUGGGGUAAAGGCUAACCUAGGCGACGAUCCCUAGCUGGUUUGAGAGGAUGACGAGCCACACUGGACAGGGUACACGGCCCAGACGCCUACGGGAGGCAGCGGUGGGGAAUAUUGCACAAUGGGCGCAAUCCGAAUGAAGCCAGGCCGGGUGUAUGAAGAAGGCCUUGGGGUUGUAAAGUACUUUCAGCGGGGAGGCGUUACCCGCAGAAGAAGCACCGGCUAACUCCGUGCCAGCAGCCGCGGUAAUUC
rnacentral:rRNA from 1 species